rnacentral:misc_RNA from 1 species
AUUUCUUGCUAAGUCGAGUUGUUGCAACAGUUCAAACUGGAAGAGAGGGAACAAAGAACCUGAAAGAAAGUUGCUAGAUAAAAUCAACUCAUAGAGAUUUGUUUUGCUUAUCCAUGGAGGCAAGCUUCCUAUGAGAUUAUUCUCACUUAAGUCCAAGUGAAAUAGAUUUGUAAAGUUGGAAAGGCAAAAGGGAAUAUGCCCUGAAACACUGCAAGAUCUUAAAGAU